AGUACAAGCAACUCUUCCUGUCUUCUUAUCCAGGACACAACUUUAAAUGCUAAGAAAAAUAGCAGAAUUUGUAAAUGGGGAAGACUGUGACAAAUAUUUAGACUUCCAUGAUUGUAAGGGGCUGAAAGUCUGAAAGUAGGUGAAGAAUACAGACAACAAGCACUAUACGAUGGGUAGCCCAUGGCUUAAGCCUCAAAAAAAAAUUUUUCCAGAGUCACAAGAGGAUGGGAGAGGAGCAGUCUGCAAGCAGCCGUAGGAGCAAGACCUUGAGACGUGUCCAUCAAUGCUACGACAGAGUCUCGCUCUGUUGCCAGGCUGGAAUGUAAUGGCACAAUCUCGGCUCACUUCAACCUCUGCCUCCCGAAUUCAAGCAAUUCUCCUGCCUCAGCUUCCCUGAGUAUCUGAGACUACAGAUGCCCACCACCAUGCCUGGCUAAUUUUUGUAUUUUUAGAAGAGACAGGGUUUCAUCAUGUUGGCCAGGCUGGUCUCGAACUCCUGACCUCAGGUAAUCCACCGGACUCGGCCUCCCAAAAUGCUGGGAUUACAAGUGUGAGCCACCACGCCCAGCCAGAUCUCUUCUUUAAUAGAGAAUAAAAACAGGAUAGAUUCUGCUUUGGAGAUCAACAUGCUGUAUAUCACAAUAAUGAUGGGACUCACGGCAUGGAGGAUGGACAGAGGAGCUUUCUCCUGGAGUGGUAUUUCUGGAAUUUCUAGUGUCAGGUAAAGUUCACAGCAUGCUCUGUAGAUUCACUUUUAUCACAAGUUGUGGUUCAAUACAGAACAAGAAGUGUUAUUUAUUAUGAUGACCACCACAAGUCAUCAUGCAGCAGACCAUUCCAAAGUAUUGGUCGAGAUAGUCAUUGGCUAUAUUCCCCUUUAUAGCCUGGAAGACUCCUGAACAACCAGAAUACAUUUAAUUUAUAUUAUCUCUUUUAAAAAUCCAAAUAGUGCUACUUAAUAUCUCUCACAAGAAAAGAAGAAAUCCCUCUGCCUUUUAAUGUUCUGGGAAUAGAAAGAAUAAAGGAGACUGAGGUGAAUCCACCAAGGAGUAUAGCAAUUUCUAUUUGUCUCCUUAAUAGUCCAACACUUCACUCACACAACAAUGUUACGUAGUUUCAUCAAAUGAUGAGUCCAGCCCCUUUCUUCUGCAGAAAAUGUCAGUUCACUGCUCCUUGCCUACAAAAUAGAAAUUAGAGAGAUACCAGCUUUUCUAGCCAGACUACAAAAUUACUUUGACUAAAUCGCUAAAAAUUCAGCCUCUCUACCAAUUUCCACAAUACGUCUCAAAUGGUAACUUUAAUCUCUGUUUGUGCCUUUCAGGAAUCCAAUGAGCAAACAAUUC
rnacentral:lncRNA from 1 species